rnacentral:rRNA from 1 species
UACGUAGGGAGCAAGCGUUUGUCCGGAAUCAUUGGGCGUAAAGCGCGCGUAGGCGGCCUCAUAAGUCCGUUGUGAAAGUCAAAGGCUCAACUUUUGAAAGCCGAUGGAUACUGUGAGGCUAGAGUCCGGAAGAGGCGAGUGGAAUUCCUGGUGUAGCGGUGGAAUGCGCAGAUAUCAGGAGGAACACCAAUAGCGAAGGCAGCUCGCUGGGACGGUACUGACGCUAAGGCGCGAAAGCGUGGGGAGCAAACAGG